GUGAAGCGGCAAGAGCUCAAAUUUGAAAUCUGGCCUCCCCCGGGGGCCCGAGUUGUAAUUUGCAGAGGAUGCUUCGGGUGCGGCCGCCGUCUAAGUUCCUUGGAACAGGACGUCAGAGAGGGUGAGAAUCCCGUCUUGGGCGGGCGGUCCGCGCCCGUGUGAAGCUCCUUCGACGAGUCGAGUUGUUUGGGAAUGCAGCUCUAAGCGGGUGGUAAAUUUCAUCUAAAGCUAAAUAUUGGCCGGAGACCGAUAGCGCACAAGUAGAGUGAUCGAAAGGUUAAAAGCACCUUGAAAAGGGAGUUAAACAGCACGUGAAAUUGUUGAAAGGGAAGCGCUUGCGGCCAGACUCGGGGGCGGGGUUCAGCGGGUGCUCGUCGCCCGUGUAUUCCUCGUCUCCCGGGCCAGCAUCAGUUUCGACGGCCGGUCAAAGGCCCCCGGAAUGUGUCGUCUCUCGGGACGUCUUAUAGCCGGGGGUGCAAUGCGGCCCGUCGGGACUGAGGAAC
rnacentral:rRNA from 1 species